AUAGGGGAGCCGUAGGGAAACCGAGUCUUAACUGGGCGAAUGAGUUGCAGGGUAUAGACCCGAAACCCGGUGAUCUAGCCAUGGGCAGGUUGAAGGUUGGGUAACACUAACUGGAGGACCGAACCGACUAAUGUUGAAAAAUUAGCGGAUGACUUGUGGCUGGGGGUGAAAGGCCAAUCAAACCGGGAGAUAGCUGGUUCUCCCCGAAAGCUAUUUAGGUAGCGCCUCGUGAACUCAUCUUCGGGGGUAGAGCACUGUUUCGACUAGGGGGUCAUCCCGACUUACCAACUCGAUGCAAACUACGAAUACCGAAGAAUGUUAUCACGGGAGACACACGGCGGGUGCUAACGUUCGUCGUGAAGAGGGAAACAACCCAGACCGCCAGCUAAGGUCCCAAAGUCAUAGUUAAGUGGGAAACGAAGUGGGAAGGCUCAGACAGCCAGGAUGUUGGCUUAGAAGCAGCCAUCAUUUAAAGAAAGCGUAAUAGCUCACUGGUCGAGUCGGCCUGCGCGGAAGAUGUAACGGGGCUAAACUAUGCACCGAAGCUGCGGCAGCGAUAUGUAAAUAUUGUUGGGUAGGGGAGCGUUCUGUAAGCCUGUGAAGGUGUACUGUGAGGUAUGCUGGAGGUAUCAGAAGUGCGAAUGCUGACAUAAGUAACGAUAAUGCGGGUGAAAAACCCGCACGCCGGAAGACCAAGGGUUCCUGUCCAACGUUAAUCGGGGCAGGGUGAGUCGACCCCUAAGGCGAGGCAGAAAUGCGUAGUCGAUGGGAAACGGGUUAAUAUUCCCGUACUGGUGAUAAUUGCGAUGGGGGGACGGAGAAGGCUAGGCUGGCCGGGCGACGGUUGUCCCGGUUUAAGGAUGUAGGCAGGUGAAUUAGGCAAAUCCGGUUCACUAUAUGCUGAGGUCUGAUGACGAGUCACUACGGUGGCGAAGUAGCUCAUGCCCCGCUUCCAGGAAAAGCCUCUAAGCUCUAGAUUAUCACUAAUCGUACCCCAAACCGACACAGGUGGUCAGGUAGAGAAUACUCAGGCGCUUGAGAGAACUCGGGUGAAGGAACUAGGCAAAAUGGUGCCGUAACUUCGGGAGAAGGCACGCUGGCGCUAGGUGAAGUGGUUUACCCAUGGAGCUGAAGCCAGUCGCAGAUACCAGCUGGCUGCAACUGUUUAUUAAAAACACAGCACUGUGCAAACACGAAAGUGGACGUAUACGGUGUGACGCCUGCCCGGUGCUGGAAGGUUAAUUGAUGGGGUUAUCCGUAAGGAGAAGCUCUUGAUCGAAGCCCCAGUAAACGGCGGCCGUAACUAUAACGGUCCUAAGGUAGCGAAAUUCCUUGUCGGGUAAGUUCCGACCUGCACGAAUGGCGUAAUGAUGGCCAGGCUGUCUCCACCCGAGACUCAGUGAAAUUGAACUCGCUGUGAAGAUGCAGUGUACCCGCGGCAAGACGGAAAGACCCCGUGAACCUUUACUAUAGCUUGACACUGAACAUUGAGCCUUGAUGUGUAGGAUAGGUGGGAGGCUUUGAAGUGUGGACGCCAGUCUGCAUGGAGCCAACCUUGAAAUACCACCCUUUAAUGUUUGAUGUUCUAACGUUGCCCCGUUAUCCGGGGUGCGGACAGUGUCUGGUGGGUAGUUUGACUGGGGCGGUCUCCUCCCAAAGAGUAACGGAGGAGCACGAAGGUUGGCUAAGCAUGGUCGGACAUCAUGCGGUUAGUGCAAAGGCAUAAGCCAGCUUGACUGCGAGAGUGACGGCUCGAGCAGGUACGAAAGUAGGUCUUAGUGAUCCGGUGGUUCUGAAUGGAAGGGCCAUCGCUCAACGGAUAAAAGGUACUCCGGGGAUAACAGGCUGAUACCGCCCAAGAGUUCAUAUCGACGGCGGUGUUUGGCACCUCGAUGUCGGCUCAUCACAUCCUGGGGCUGAAGUAGGUCCCAAGGGUACGGCUGUUCGCCGUUUAAAGUGGUACGCGAGCUGGGUUUAGAACGUCGUGAGACAGUUCGGUCCCUAUCUGCCGUGGGCGUUGGAAGAUUGAAAGGGGCUGCUCCUAGUACGAGAGGACCGGAGUGGACGCACCACUGGUGUUCGGGUUGUCAUGCCAAUGGCAUUGCCCGGUAGCUAAGUGCGGAAGAGAUAACCGCUGAAAGCAUCUAAGCGGGAAACUUGCCUUGAGAUGAGUCUUCCCUGACCCUUUAAGGGUCCUAAAGGAACGUUUAAGACUAAGACGUUGAUAGGUUGGGUGUGUAAGCAUAGCGAUAUGUUGAGCUAACCAAUACUAAUGAACCGUGAGGCUUAACCUGACAACACCGAAGGUGUUUUAG
rnacentral:rRNA from 1 species